rnacentral:rRNA from 1 species
CCCUUAGAGUUUGAUCCUGGCUCAGAUUGAACGCUGGCGGAAUGCUUUACACAUGCAAGUCGAGCGGCAGCGCGGGGCAACCUGGCGGCGAGCGGCGAACGGGUGAGUAAUGCAUCGGAACAUGUCCAUGUCGUGGGGGAUAGCCCGGCGAAAGCCGGAUUAAUACCGCAUACGCCCGAGAGGGGAAAGCCGGGGUCCGCAAGGCCUGGCGCGAUUGGGUUGGCCGAUGUCCGAUUAGCUAGUUGGCGGGGUAAGAGCCCACCAAGGCGAUGAUCGGUAGCUGGUCUGAGAGGAUGAUCAGCCACACUGGGACUGAGACACGGCCCAGACUCCUACGGGAGGCAGCAGUGGGGAAUUUUGGACAAUGGGGGAAACCCUGAUCCAGCCAUUCCGCGUGAGUGAAGAAGGCCUUCGGGUUGUAAAGCUCUUUUGUCCGGAACGAAACGGUGCACGUGAAUAUCGUGCGCUACUGACGGUACCGGAAGAAUAAGCACCGGCUAACUACGUGCCAGCAGCCGCGGUAAUACGUAGGGUGCGAGCGUUAAUCGGAAUUACUGGGCGUAAAGCGUGCGCAGGCGGUUUUGUAAGCCAGAUGUGAAAGCCCCGGGCUCAACCUGGGAAUGGCAUUUGGGACUGCAAGGCUUGAGUGCGGCAGAGGAGACUGGAAUUCCUGGUGUAGCAGUGAAAUGCGUAGAUAUCAGAGGAAUACCGAUGGCGAAAGCAGGUCUCUGGGCUGACACUGACGCUCAUGCACGAAAGCGUGGGGAGCAAACAGAUUAGAUACCCUGGUAGUCACGCCCUAACGAUGUCGAC